rnacentral:lncRNA from 1 species
AGACGAAAUACACACGCACAGGCACAAUUUUGAUGGGGGCUGGGGAAUUCAUUUCCUUUUUAGACUCUAAACACACACCGUUGAAACUGAAUAUACACACCAGAGAGAAUUGGUGAGUAAGAGAGAAUCAAAGACAUUAGUGAGAGAGAGAUCAUGAGAUCGAAGAGAGAGAGAUAAGGCGAUGGUGAGCUAAAAUCGAUCAAAAUAGGGGAGCUGGUGAGAGGAUUUUGUCGCUAAAAAUGGUCUUAUUUCGGAGCGGUUUUUCGUGAUGGUUUUGUAUAUGGG